rnacentral:lncRNA from 1 species
UCAGUCUCGAUUGCGGAAAACCCCGACCGAAAGGUUUGGGUCGGGUCUCAACUAUCCGACCCAGAACGGCAACGGUUGACGGAGCUGCUGACGGCCAACGCCGACAUAUUUGCUUGGUCGGCAGCAGAUAUGUCGGGCAUCCCCCCAGAGACAAUAACCCACCGACUCAACAUCGACCCGACGAUGAGGCCGGUGAGGCAGAAGAAAAGG